rfam:Jonquetella anthropi DSM 22815 chromosome, whole genome shotgun sequence.
GGGGGCGACCGGUUUCGACUGGUAUGGCGGAAGUCUGGGAGCAGGCCGAGCGACGGGCGUUACCCGUCAAACAUAAGAACUGACAACGAUUUCGCACUGGCUGCGUAAGCACGCGGCCGCCCAAACGGAGAGGGAGCGCUCGCGCCUCCCGGGCGGGCUAAUCAUCGCGGGCAGCGUCAUUUCCUUCCAUCCGCAGCACCCGAUACCCUUCUGUCGGUCAGGCGUCGGGCGCAGCGCGUUAAAAGAGAUCGUCUAAGCCUGUAGCCGCCCAUUCGUACCCGUUAUGUCAGGACCGGAGUUCGAUUCUCCGCGCCUCCACCA